rnacentral:tRNA from 1 species
GCCGAUUUAGCUCAGUUGGUAGAGCAACGCAUUCGUAAUGCGUGGGCCAGGUGUUCGAAUCACCUAAUCGGCACCA